rnacentral:tRNA from 1 species
UGAGGUGUGGCUCAGUGGUAGAGCACUUGCCUAGCAUGUGUGAGGCCCUGGGUUGAAUCCCCAGUACCACCA